AGAGUUUGAUCAUGGCUCAGAUUGAACGCUGGCGGCAGGCCUAACACAUGCAAGUCGAGCGGUAGCACAGAGAGCUUGCUCUCGGGUGACGAGCGGCGGACGGGUGAGUAAUGUCUGGGAAACUGCCUGAUGGAGGGGAUAACUACUGGAAACGGUAGCUAAUACCGCAUAAUGUCGCAAGACCAAAGUGGGGACCUUCGGGCCUCAUGCCAUCAGAUGUGCCCAGAUGGGAUUAGCUAGUAGGUGGGGUAACGGCUCACCUAGGCGACGAUCCUAGCUGGUCUGAGAGGAUGACCAGCCACACUGGAACUGAGACACGGUCCAGACUCCUACGGGAGGCAGCAGUGGGGAAUAUUGCACAAUGGGCGCAAGCCUGAUGCAGCCAUGCCGCGUGUGUGAAGAAGGCCUUCGGGUUGUAAAGCACUUUCAGCGGGGAGGAAGGCGGUGAGGUUAAUAACCUCAUCGAUUGACGUUACCCGCAGAAGAAGCACCGGCUAACUCCGUGCCAGCAGCCGCGGUAAUACGGAGGGUGCAAGCGUUAAUCGGAAUUACUGGGCGUAAAGCGCACGCAGGCGGUCUGUCAAGUCGGAUGUGAAAUCCCCGGGCUCAACCUGGGAACUGCAUUCGAAACUGGCAGGCUAGAGUCUUGUAGAGGGGGGUAGAAUUCCGGUGUAGCGGUGAAAUGCGUAGAGAUCUGGAGGAAUACCGGUGGCGAAGGCGGCCCCUGGACAAAGACUGACGCUCAGGUGCGAAAGCGUGGGGAGCAAACAGGAUUAGAUACCCCGGUAGUCCACGCCGUAAACGAUGUCGAUUUGGAGGUUGUGCCCUUGAGGCGUGGCUUCCGGAGCUAACGCGUUAAAUCGACCGCCUGGGGAGUACGGCCGCAAGGUUAAAACUCAAAUGAAUUGACGGGGCCCGCACAAGCGGUGGAGCAUGUGGUUUAAUUCGAUGCAACGCGAAGAACCUUACCUGGUCUUGACAUCCACAGAACUUUCCAGAGAUGGAUUGGUGCCUUCGGGAACUGUGAGACAGGUGCUGCAUGGCUGUCGUCAGCUCGUGUUGUGAAAUGUUGGGUUAAGUCCCGCAACGAGCGCAACCCUUAUCCUUUGUUGCCAGCGGUCCGGCCGGGAACUCAAAGGAGACUGCCAGUGAUAAACUGGAGGAAGGUGGGGAUGACGUCAAGUCAUCAUGGCCCUUACGACCAGGGCUACACACGUGCUACAAUGGCAUAUACAAAGAGAAGCGACCUCGCGAGAGCAAGCGGACCUCAUAAAGUAUGUCGUAGUCCGGAUUGAGUCUGCAACUCGACUCCAUGAAGUCGGAAUCGCUAGUAAUCGUAGAUCAGAAUGCUACGGUGAAUACGUUCCCGGGCCUUGUACACACCGCCCGUCACACCAUGGGAGUGGGUUGCAAAAGAAGUAGGUAGCUUAACCUUCGGGAGGGCGCUUACCACUUUGUGAUUCAUGACUGGGGUGAAGUCGUAACAAGGUAACCGUAGGGGAACCUGCGGUUG
rnacentral:rRNA from 1 species